GGGGAUAUAGCUCAGCUGGUAGAGCGCCUGAUUUGCAUUCAGGAGGUCCUCGGUUCGAAUCCGUGUAUCUCCACCA
rnacentral:tRNA from 1 species